UCCUACGGGAGGCAGCAGUGAGGAAUCUUGGACAAUGGGGGAAACCCUGAUCCAGCGACGCCGCGUGAGUGAUGAAGCCUUUCGGGGUGUAAGGCUCUUUCAGCGGGGACAAUCAUGAUGGUACCCGCACAAGCAGCUGCGGCUAACUACGUGCCAGCAGCCGCGGUAAUACGUAGGCAGCAAGCGUUGUUCGGAAUUACUGGGCGUAAAGCGAGUGUAGGCGGUCUGCCAAGUCUGUUGUGAAAUCUCCCGGCUCAACUGGGAGGGUGCGUCGGAAACUGGCAGGCUCGAGUGCGAGAGGGGAGAGUGGAAUUCCUGGUGUAGCGGUGGAAUGCGUAGAUAUCAGGAGGAACACCGGUGGUGAAGACGGCUCUCUGGAUCGCCACUGACGCUGAGACUCGAAAGCGUGGGGAGCAAACAGGAUUAGAUACCCUGGUAGUCCACGCCCUAAACGAUGCAUACUUGGUGUGGGCUCUUCACUGAGUCCGUGCCGGAGCUAACGCGUUAAGUAUGCCGCCUGGGGAGUACGGUCNCAAGGCUGAAACUCAAAGGAAUUGACNGGGGA
rnacentral:rRNA from 1 species